rnacentral:rRNA from 1 species
UACGUAGGGGGCAAGCGUUGUCCGGAUUUAUUGGGCGUAAAGGGCGUGUAGGCGGCCAGGUAGGUCCGUUGUGAAAACUGGAGGCUUAACCUCCAGCUGUCGAUGGAAACCAUCUGGCUAGAGUCCGGAAGAGGAGAGUGGAAUUCCUGGUGUAGCGGUGAAAUGCGCAGAUAUCAGGAAGAACACCCGUGGCGAAGGCGGCUCUCUGGGACGGUACUGACGCUGAGACGCGAAAGCGUGGGGAGCGAACAGG